rnacentral:rRNA from 1 species
UACGUAGGGUGCAGGCGUUUAAUCGGAAUUACUGGGCGUAAAGCGUGCGCAGGCGGUUUGCUAAGACAGGUGUGAAAUCCCCGGGCUUAACCUGGGAAUGGCAUUUGGGACUGCAAGGCUUGAGUGCGGCAGAGGAGACUGGAAUUCCUGGUGUAGCAGUGAAAUGCGCAGAUAUCAGGAAGAACACCCGUGGCGAAGGCGGCUCUCUGGUACGUGACUGACGCUGAGACGCGAAAGCGUGGGGGAGCGAACAGG